GCCUCUGAUAGCUAAGUCGGUAGAGUAUGAGACUCUUAAUCUCAGCACCGUGGGUUUGAGCCCCAUGUUGGGCA